rnacentral:tRNA from 1 species
UGUUCUGUAGCUUAGUUGGUUAAAGCACCGGACUAGCGAUAACGGAGUCGUGGGUCCCACCAAAACAA